GACAGAGGAUGCAAGCGUUAUCCGGAAUGAUUGGGCGUAAAGCGUCUGUAGGUGGCUUUUUAAGUCCGCCGUCAAAUCCCAGGGCUCAACCCUGGACAGGCGGUGGAAACUACCAAGCUGGAGUACGGUAGGGGCAGAGGGAAUUUCCGGUGGAGCGGUGAAAUGCGUAGAGAUCGGAAAGAACACCAACGGCGAAGGCGGCGCUCUGGGCCGGUACUGACACUGAGGAGCGAAAGCGUGGGGAGCAAACAGG
rnacentral:rRNA from 1 species